GAGUUUGAUCGUGGCUCAGAGCGAACGCUGGCGGCAGGCCUAAUACAUGCAAGUCGAGCGCACCUUCGGGUGAGUGGCGGACGGGUGAGUAACGCGUGGGAAUGUGCCCUUUGGUACGGAACAACUGAGGGAAACUUCAGCUAAUACCGUAUGUGCCCUUCGGGGGAAAGAUUUAUCGCCAUUGGAGCAGCCCGCGUUGGAUUAGCUAGUUGGUGGGGUAAAGGCCCACCAAGGCGACGAUCCAUAGCUGGUCUGAGAGGAUGAUCAGCCACACUGGGACUGAGACACGGCCCAGACUCCUACGGGAGGCAGCAGUAGGGAAUCUUGCGCAAUGGGCGAAAGCCUGACGCAGCCAUGCCGCGUGAAUGAUGAAGGUCUUAGGAUUGUAAAAUUCUUUCACCGGGGAAGAUAAUGACGGUACCCGGAGAAGAAGCCCCGGCUAACUUCGUGCCAGCCGCCGCGGUAAC
rnacentral:rRNA from 1 species